rnacentral:misc_RNA from 1 species
UCCAAAAAAAAAAAAAUUUUUUACAACAUCAAAUUGAUUAUCAUAAAUAUUUAAAAUAAUAAUAAAUAUUAUUAUUUAUGCAGAAAUAUUUAAUAAUAAUAAUAAUAAUUUCUUAAAUAAAUAAAUAAAACAAUUGAAAAUAAAAAUUUAGUCGAAAAAAAAAAAAAAAAAAAGGGAUUGUAGCCCUCUCGGUUGUAUGAUUAUUGGCUGCGCGAGUUUACCAACCGGCGACGACAAACGUCGACGAAUAACAGACGACGACGACGACGGCAGGCGCACUGUGUAUUAAAAACAAAAAAAAACUACGUGAGUCAGUCGACGGUCUGCCGGCAAUCGGUGCAGAUGUUUUGACAUUAACUCUUCAAUUUUAUUAUUAUUAUUAUUGAUAAAAAAAAUUAAAUUGUGUGUGCUCCAAUAUUGCUGUUAGACACAUAAAAUUGUAUUGUGAUUUUUUUCAUCUAUUGAGUAAAUGUGAAAAAUAAUUAACAAACAAUCAUAUAUUUUUAUGUAUUUUUUUUUUUUUCACUAUUUAAUUUAUUGAUAAUAUUUUAGAAUUUUUCGAGAAAAAAAAACAAAUUGAAGAAUUUAUUUAUUGUUUAGUGUGUUUAGAAUAAAUUUUUGAAAAUUACAACUGAUCAGUAUGGCUGCUCCAGUUGCGAGCACACGAUUCAGUGACAACUAUGAUCUCAAAGAGGAGCUUGGAAAAGGUGCUUUUUCCGUUGUACGAAGAUGCGUACAAAAAAGUACUGGAUUAGAAUUUGCAGCAAAAGUCAUCAAUACUAAAAAAUUAUCGCAAAGAGAUUUUCAAAAGCUCGAACGAGAAGCUCGGAUAUGUAGGAAAUUACAGCAUCCAAAUAUUGUUCGAUUACACGAAAGUAUACAAGAGGAAAAUUGCCACUACCUUGUUUUCGAUCUAGUCACUGGUGGUGAACUUUUCGAGGACAUUGUCGCACGAGAAUUUUACAGUGAAGCAGAUGCUUCACAUUGUAUACAACAAAUUUUGGAAAGUGUACAUCACUGUCAUCACAAUGGAAUUGUGCACAGGGAUCUCAAACCAGAAAAUCUUUUGCUUGCAAGUAAAGCAAAAGGUGCAGCUGUGAAGCUAGCAGAUUUUGGAUUAGCAAUUGAAAUGCAGGGUGAUGCACAAGCGUGGUAUGGUUUUGCUGGUACGCCUGGAUAUUUGAGUCCUGAAGUAUUGAAAAAAGAACCAUAUGGUAAACCAGUUGAUAUUUGGGCAUGUGGUGUUAUAUUGUACAUUCUUCUUGUUGGUUAUCCACCAUUUUGGGAUGAGGAUCAACAUCGAUUAUAUGGACAAAUUAAAGCUGGUGCAUAUGAUUAUCCAAGCCCUGAAUGGGACACUGUAACACCUGAAGCAAGAAAUCUUAUUAAUCAAAUGUUAACUGUCAAUCCAUCAAGGCGUAUUACUGCAAGUGAAGCCCUUAGGCAUCCGUGGAUUUGCCAACGUGAACGUGUGGCUUCAGUCGUACACAGACAAGAAACUGUCGAUUGCUUGAAGAAAUUCAAUGCAAGGCGCAAAUUAAAGGGCGCUAUUUUAACAACAAUGUUGGCGACGAGGAAUUUUUCCAGUAAGUAUGAUCCACAGGCUCGAAGCAUCAUCACGAAAAAAGGAGAUGGAUCACAAGUCAAGGAGUCAACUGAUAGCAGUACCACUAUUGAAGAUGAUGAUGUCAAAGAGGAUAAGAAGGGCGGCGUCGACCGGAGCAGCACGGUCAUUGCCAAAGAACCCGAAGCUUACGCGUCACAAGGCACACCGCCAAAUAGUCCCGCGGCCGGUUCAAUAUUCUCCAGAGUUAUCGGUGCUGCUACGGGAAAUAAACAACAACAACAGCAGCAACAACAACAACAGCAAAAUACAGGAAAUCCGUUAGGCAUUGCUGCUGUUUUACUUCAGGGUGCACAAGCUGGAAAUGGAAGUACCAAUGGAAGCAACAGUAGCAGUCCAAGUAGUGGAAGUAUCAACAGCCAGAAUAGUCAAACAGGCUUAUCACCUUCUACAGCAUCAACAGUCUACGUCACCAAUAUCAACAACACACAAAGACGAAACAACUCUUCGUCAACCGAGAGUGAUGAGACUGGUCAGUGUGCACCAAAGAUUACUUUGAGUUUCUGUCAACUUGUCGCCAAGGGGGAUGACGGUAAGGAGGACAUUUGUUUGAUGGCUGCUGACCAUAAACCAAGAAAAUCGCUGGAAAUAAAUGACGACAAUAUGUGCCCUAUUUUUCGAUGUUGUUGUUUAUCCUGAAAUAUAUGAAAAAUUUAAUUUAAAAAUAAACAAAAUUGCGCACACUCGAUUGCAUCGCUAUAAUAAAAAUAUUUAUGACAAAAAUAAAUGAAAUUAAAAAUAUUAUUAUAAAGGAAAAUAUUUAAAAAAAAAAACAAUAUAAAAUACACAUAGGAAUUAAUAUAACAUAAAUAUCGUAAUUAGAAAUUAGUUUUAGAAAAAAAAAAUACAUACAUUAACAUGAUAAAUGUUAAAUUAAUAUUAAUUUUAAUUUUAUUCUUCACGAAUGUACACGAUAUUAGUUGGGAAAAGAAAAAGAAAAAAAAAUACAUGAAUAUAUUUAAAAUAAAAUAGUUAAAAUAUAUUUUGUGUAAAUGUUUGUUGUAGAAGUAUUUUUGUAAAUGUUGAGUUCACUCGUCUUUGCAAAAUUUCGCGAAUAAAAUUUUUAAAAAAUUAAAAAGGUGAAGACAAUCGAUACACAAUUUUCAAAAAAAUUUGGAAUGCGCGAUGAUCAAUUUUAUAAUUAAAAAAAAAUAAUAAUAAUUACAAUAAAAUUGAGAUGGUUUAUAAAUAAAAAUAAAAAAUAUGAUCCUCGCGGAUCCCACGCCAUUCGAUUGCUUGGCGCAAAGCAUAAGAAAAUGCUGUAUAAAUAAUUUUUUAAAUUAAUAAAAAAUGUGUUUUAAUGAGGAAGGUAUAUGCUUGUAGAAAUAAGAAUCAUGUGUCCCGUCAAGACCUGCAGUCAGCUAUCAACAAACUCGCAAUGCUCAGCACGUCGUCAAGAAAUAAUCAAGAUGACUGAACAACUUAUUGAGAGUAUCAACACUGGUGAUUUUGAAGGCUACAC